UACAGAGGAUGCAAGCGUUAUCCGGAAUGAUUGGGCGUAAAGCGUCUGUAGGUGGCUUUUUAAGUCCGCCGUCAAAUCCCAGGGCUCAACUCUGGACAGGCGGUGAAAACUACCAAGCUGGAGUACGGUAGGGGCAGAGGGAAUUUCCGGUGGAGCGGUGAAAUGCGUAGAGAUCGGAAAGAACACCAGUGGCGAAGGCGGCUACCUGGACAGAUACUGACGCUGAGGCGCGAGAGCGUGGGGAGCAAACAGG
rnacentral:rRNA from 1 species